CGUGAGGGAAAGGUGAAAAGCACCCCGGAAGGGGAGUGAAAUAGAACCUGAAACCGUGUGCUUACAAGUAGUCAGAGCCCGUUAAUGGGUGAUGGCGUGCCUUUUGUAGAAUGAACCGGCGAGUUACGAUUUGAUGCAAGGUUAAGCAGUAAAUGUGGAGCCGUAGCGAAAGCGAGUCUGAAUAGGGCGUUUAGUAUUUGGUCGUAGACCCGAAACCAGGUGAUCUACCCUUGGUCAGGUUGAAGUUCAGGUAACACUGAAUGGAGGACCGAACCGACUUACGUUGAAAAGUGAGCGGAUGAACUGAGGGUAGCGGAGAAAUUCCAAUCGAACCUGGAGAUAGCUGGUUCUCUCCGAAAUAGCUUUAGGGCUAGCCUCAAGUGAUGAUUAUUGGAGGUAGAGCACUGUUUGGACGAGGGGCCCCUCUCGGGUUACCGAAUUCAGACAAACUCCGAAUGCCAAUUAAUUUAACUUGGGAGUCAGAACAUGGGUGAUAAGGUCCGUGUUCGAAAGGGAAACAGCCCAGACCACCAGCUAAGGUCCCAAAAUAUAUGUUAAGUGGAAAAGGAUGUGGCGUUGCCCAGACAACUAGGAUGUUGGCUUAGAACAUUUAAAGAGUGCGUAAUAGCUCACUAGUCGAGUGACACUGCGCCGAAAAUGUACCGGGGCUAAACAUAUUACCGAAGCUGUGGAUUGUCCUUUGGACAAUGGUAGGAGAGCGUUCUAAGGGCGUUGAAGCAUGAUCGUAAGGACAUGUGGAGCGCUUAGAAGUGAGAAUGCCGGUGUGAGUAGCGAAAGACGGGUGAGAAUCCCGUCCACCG
rnacentral:rRNA from 1 species